rnacentral:rRNA from 1 species
GACGAACGCUGGCGGCGUGCCUAAUACAUGCAAGUAGAACGCUGAAGGAGGAGCUUGCUCUUCUGGAUGAGUUGCGAACGGGUGAGUAACGCGUAGGUAACCUGCCUGGUAGCGGGGGAUAACUAUUGGAAACGAUAGCUAAUACCGCAUAAGAGUAGAUGUUGCAUGACAUUUACUUAAAAGGUGCAAUUGCAUCACUACCAGAUGGACCUGCGUUGUAUUAGCUAGUUGGUGGGGUAACGGCUUACCAAGGCGACGAUACAUAGCCGACCUGAGAGGGUGAUCGGCCAAACUGGGACUGAGACACGGCCCAGACUCCUACGGGAGGCAGCAGUAGGGAAUCUUCGGCAAUGGACGGAAGUCUGACCGAGCAACGCCGCGUGAGUGAAGAAGGGUUUCGGAUCGUAAAGCUCUGUUGUAAGAGAAGAACGAGUGUGAGAGUGGAAAGUUCACACUGUGACGGUAUCUUACCAGAAAGGGACGGCUAACUACGUG